AUCAGCAGAUGAAAGGAUAGGAACCUGUUGACUUCAAAACUAAGUGUGAAGAUGUGAUUGAGCAGAAGAAUGAAUGCUGUAUCAGAUGCAGGCUCCAUGCGGUUUGAUGCUUCGGGAGGAACAUCUGUCUGCUUGGGGAAGGUGCUGUCUUAUAUCACAUGGCUUCCAUUUCUGGACUUGUCGGUGCCCCCCGUAGCUGUUUUUACAAGCAGACGAGUGAAGGGGUCAGAGGGUCUGCCCUUCAGCACCCGCUAUUGACACCAGUGCAUUAAUCUUCACUCCACAACACCUAAAAAGGAAAAAUGAUCACCUUCAGAUUCAAUGCUAAUAUAAAGAGUUUUCAGUGUUGUUGUUUUUAAAUGCUACAAUGCAAUGCUCUCCAAGCUUUAAAUGCCUAUGAAAUUGCACUGAGGCCCAAAGAUCAGAAAUAUAAGAAAAAGUAAAAGAAAACAAUGAAAGGUGUCUGUUCCUGACAGAGAAUAUUUACCUGUCCAUAAGAAAUGAAGGUGAGAGCCUCUUUGGGUCUGAACUCGGAGGAAGUUUUAGUGGCACUAAAAAGGCUCUGUUAAACACCAUUUUAAAAGUUCCUAAAAGCAUUUUUGCUCUCAGGGGUUGUGCCAUUUUUAACUGUGAUCGAGUUUCAUUUGCAACAUAAGUGCACCUGGAAACGCUAGAGACGCUCCUACACACGGCACGCCGCUUGUAAAAGUGGAGAAGGGAAACCAAUCAGAUUUACUGGUUUCAUUAAGGCGUGAGGUGUGUUUUUGACCUCCAGCUCUGCAGUGAUCUUGACCUGAAGAGGAACAGCAUCAUGUUUUCUGAUCUUUAACUUAAAUAAACAGUAAUAUUUUGACUGGAUGUUCAGGUCUAUCCUGUUUACAUGCAACUGAAGUUUUGUCACGUUGAUCUGAAGUGGAAAGCACGAUUGUAGAGAAACAGUGUGACAUUUAUGGAUGUUCUCUCUUGUAACCAGUUCUCUUUUUUAAUGUGCAUUAAACCGUUGAUCGGUGUGUUGUUAAAUGACCGGUCAG